rnacentral:rRNA from 1 species
AUUGAACGCUGGCGGCAUGCCUUACACAUGCAAGUCGAACGGCAGCACGGGAGCUUGCUCCUGGUGGCGAGUGGCGAACGGGUGAGUAAUACAUCGGAACGUACCCUGAAGUGGGGGAUAACGUAGCGAAAGUUACGCUAAUACCGCAUAUUCUGUGAGCAGGAAAGAGGGGGAUCGCAAGACCACUUGCUUUAGGAGCGGCCGAUGUCGGAUUAGCUAGUUGGUGAGGUAAAGGCUCACCAAGGCGACGAUCCGUAGCGGGUCUGAGAGGAUGAUCCGCCACACUGGGACUGAGACACGGCCCAGACUCCUACGGAGGCAGCAGUGGGGAAUUUUGGACAAUGGGCGCAAGCCUGAUCCAGCCAUGCGCGUGAGUGAAGAAGGCCUUCGGGUUG